rnacentral:lncRNA from 1 species
CUUUUUCAAAGCAGCUGGAAGUAAUAACUGGAUGCUCCUCUGACUUCCCUUAAACUCCGUGGUGGUUACUCAAUGUCCCUGUAGCCAAUGAAUCUACUAAGGAGAACUUGGGGGAAAAUACUCCGUGCUCAAGCAGGGAAGCCUGAGAGAUUGUUUCCCCCAUCUUCCUGGCUGUCUUUGCUCCUGUUCUUAAAGCAUUAAAUGUUUGGCAUUACAACAACCAUCUUGUAUUUAUG